AUUGAACGCUGGCGGCAGGCCUAACACAUGCAAGUCGAGCGGAUGAAGGGAGCUUGCUCCUGGAUUCAGCGGCGGACGGGUGUGUAAUGCCUAGGAAUCUGCCUGGUAGUGGGGGAUAACGUCCGGAAACGGGCGCUAAUACCGCAUACGUCCUGAGGGAGAAAGUGGGGGAUCUUCGGACCUCACGCUAUCAUAUGAGCCUAGGUCGGAUUAGCUAGUUGGUGGGGUAAAGGCCUACCAAGGCGACGAUCCGUAACUGGUCUGAGAGGAUGAUCAGUCACACUGGAACUGACACACGGUCCAGACUCCUACGGGAGGCAGCAGUGGGGAAUAUUGGACAAUGGGCGAAAGCAUGAUCCAGCAAUGCCGCGUGUGUGAAGAAGGUCUUCGGAUUGUAAAGCACUUUAAGUUGGGAGGAAGGGCAGUAAGUUAAUACCUUGCUGUUUUGACGUUACCAACAGAAUAAGCACCGGCUAACUUCGUG
rnacentral:rRNA from 1 species